GAUGAAGAACGUAGCGAAAUGCGAUAAGUAAUGCGAAUUGCAGAAUUCAGUGAGUCAUCGAAUCUUUGAACGCACAUUGCGCCCUGUGGUAUUCCGGGGGGCAUGCCUGUUCGAGCGUCAUUUCAACCCUCAAGCUCUGCUUGGUAUUGGGCUCCGUCCUCCUCGGACGCGCCUCAAAGACCUCGGCGGUGGCGUCUUGCCUCAAGCGUAGUAGAAACACCUCGCUUUGGAGUGCAUGGCGUCGCCCGCCGGACGAAACCUUUUGUAUUUUCUCAAAGGUUGACCUCGGAUCAGGUAGGGAUACCCGCUGAACUUAAGCAUAUCAAUAAGCGGAGGA
rnacentral:misc_RNA from 1 species